rnacentral:rRNA from 1 species
UACGUAGGGUGCGAGCGUUAAUCGGAAUUACUGGGCGUAAAGCGUGCGUAGGCGGCUUUGUAAGUUAGAGGUGAAAGCCCGGAGCUCAACUCCGGAAUUGCCUUUAAGACUGCAUCGCUAGAAUCAUGGAGAGGUUAGUGGAAUUCCGAGUGUAGAGGUGAAAUUCGUAGAUAUUCGGAAGAACACCAGUGGCGAAGGCGACUAACUGGACAUGUAUUGACGCUGAGGUGCGAAAGCGUGGGGAGCAAACAGG